rnacentral:piRNA from 1 species
UGUGCACACAAAUAAUUACCUCAAACACCA